AACGAACGCUGGCGGCAGGCUCAACACAUGCAAGUCGAACGCCCCGCAAGGGGAGUGGCAGACGGGUGAGUAACGCGUGGGAAUCUACCGUACCCUACGGAAUAACGCAUGGAAACGUGUGCUAAUACCGUAUACGCCCUACGGGGGAAAGAUUUAUCGGGGUAUGAUGAGCCCGCGUUGGAUUAGCUAGUUGGUGGGGUAAAGGCCUACCAAGGCGACGAUCCAUAGCUGGUCUGAGAGGAUGAUCAGCCACAUUGGGACUGAGACACGGCCCAAACUCCUACGGGAGGCAGCAGUGGGGAAUAUUGGACAAUGGGCGCAAGCCUGAUCCAGCCAUGCCGCGUGAGUGAUGAAGGUCUUAGGAUUGUAAAGCUCUUUCACCGGAGAAGAUAAUGACGGUAUCCGGAGAAGAAGCCCCGGCUAACUUCGUGCCAGCCGCCGCCGUAACAC
rnacentral:rRNA from 1 species